UUGGACUCUCCCUGGCAGCGUGGCCGUGGGAAAACUGGUGCCAUUCACCACGAAACCGCAGCUCAAACUGGCAUCUUCUGCUCCUUCCUGGUAAGGGCCAGAGGAAUGCCAUGACAUUGAACCUUACCUUUUUGCCCCCCUUUUUCCAGACCUCUGGGACUGCUAGAACACAAGGAGAAGGAGACAGGAACCGAGGAGAUUUGGGCACGGAGAGCGUCGGUCUUGGAGGCAUGGGAAGACGGAGGCUGCAGGGGAAAACAGAGCCGGAAAGAAGGAAGAAGGGAUGGCGAGGAAGGAGAAUCUGCAGGACGUUCAGACGUGGAAAGGGCAGAGGUCGAUGCGGAGUGUGAAGUGCCGGAGGAAGAAGCAUCCGCUGGGAAAGAAAGCGAGCCUCUUGGAAGUGCGUUAACAGACAGGCAGGAUGGAUCGGAGCCGGAGGAAGGAGAACCGGAGGGGACCAGCAGGGCGGAUGGAUGCGAGGACGAGGAAGGAGCAGACGGGGAGAUUUGGGGGCCUAGCCUGGAGGGAGAAAAUGGGACGUCAAGGGCAGAAGAAGCUCAGGAAGGGGUCAGUGUGGAGGAAGAAGAAGGGGUCCUGGAAGGUAGACGUGGUGAGAGGGGAAAGAAGAAAGAAGAGGAUGAUGGAGGACAAGCCAGCAAAGAUGGGGGUGAGCCCCAUGGGGAUGAAGGAGGCAGAAAUGGAAAUCAUAGUCAAGAAACAGGCCUGGAGUGGGACUUAGGGAGCCAGGCGCAGGCGGCUGGCGGUCCAGAAGAAGAGGCGUCCAGCGCCAGCAGUGGCUCCGUGAUGGUCUCCUUGGGAGCCAGGCAUCAUGGCCCAUCCAAGCAGGAGGAUGAUGAUGAGAGAAGCGGAAACCCUAGUCUGCAGAGCGACAGUCCGACGGAAGCUCAGCGAACACAAGCAGGCACAAAUUCCACUGGUGAAGGACAGGAGGAGGAGGAGGAAGAAGAGGACAGUGAGGGUGACACUGAUAUUGAAGCUGCGUUGGCUCCCCACCACAAUAAGCCACUUCCAAAGGAUCAGCGGACUGGAGGAGUUAUUCAAAGGCUUCAAGAGCUCUGGGAUGAUGUAGAGGACACCAGUGAAGUUGGCGAUCAAGAGGAUGAAGAUGAUUUUAUGAUGGAAGGGAAAGGGAAAGGAAGAAAUGGAAAAUAUGCCACAACCCAAGAGUCAAAGUUGUUCCACCGCAGGGCUAAAGAUCUUGCUUGACCACCGAGAGUUGUCAGCUACUUGUAAACUUUUGCAGACUGUGUGAUGACGCAAAAGCCGUUAUUUUAGUAGUUCCAUCUGUGCAACAUUAAAAAAAAAAGAAUACUGUCCUACCUGUACAGGGCUGUUGUACAGACUAUGAUGAGAACAGGUGUGAUAUAGUUUGAAAAAAGUAAAAAACCCUGUUUGUUGGCCAGGAUUCAUGCAAUGGGAAGUCAUGGGUCAUGAUAACCAUGAUUUGUGGCUGUAGCCAUGAAUUGUCCUGCAGAUGAUGACACAAAACCAUACAUUUGCUUUCCCCUUUCUGGCCUGUUGUAUAAGCUGCAGAACUGUUUUUCACAGUUCUGCGUUUGGGCAUCAUCAGAAAAAAAAAAAGGCAGAAUUUGUAAGCAAACAACAGACAUGCACUCUGUCAACAGCGGCUGACUACCAACCCAUAGUUAGUUUGCCAAGAUGGAUUUAGAUGCAACAACAUGCCAGGAUUCAAGAAGGCCCCAUCUGGUUAAAGCUCGGCAAAUACAGUGGUGCCCCGCUUAACGAUUACCUCGUUAGACAAGGAAAUCGCUUAACGAUGAAGUUUUUGCUGUCGCUUUUGCAAUCACAAAAUUAUGUUUUAAUAGGGAAAAAUCGCUUCACGAUGAUUGGUUCCCUGCUUCGGGAAUUGAUUCUUCACUUAACGACGACCAAAACAACUGAUUAUUGGGCUUUCAAAAUGGCCGCCGACUGUGUAAAAUGGCUCCCUGCUGUGUUUUAGGAGAUUCCUUGCUUUACAGGCACCGAAAAUGGCUGCUCUAUGAAGGAUCUUCGCUGGAUGCUGAGGUAUUUCGCCCAUUGGAAUGCAUUGAACCGGCUUUCAAUGCAUUUCAAUGGGAUUUUUACUUUCGCUUGACAACAAUUUCGUUUUACAGCAAUUUUGUUGGAACGGAUUAUCCUCGUCAAGCGAGGCACCACUGUAUAUGGUUUGGAACAACAGCUCUCCAAAUCCCUCACCAUAAAACCU
ensembl:lncRNA